GAGGAAAAGAAACUAACAAGGAUUCCCCUAGUAGCGGCGAGCGAAGCGGGAAGAGCUCAAAUUUAUAAUCUGGCACCUUCGGUGUCCGAGUUGUAAUCUCUAGAAAUGUUUUCCGCGUUGGACCGCACACAAGUCUGUUGGAAUACAGCGGCAUAGUGGUGAGACCCCCGUAUAUGGUGCGGACGCCCAGCGCUUUGUGAUACAUUUUCGAAGAGUCGAGUUGUUUGGGAAUGCAGCUCAAAUUGGGUGGUAAAUUCCAUCUAAAGCUAAAUAUUGGCGAGAGACCGAUAGCGAACAAGUACCGUGAGGGAAAGAUGAAAAGCACUUUGGAAAGAGAGUUAACAGUACGUGAAAUUGUUGGAAGGGAAACGCUUGAAGUCAGACUUGCUUGCCGAGCAAUCGGUUUGCAGGCCAGCAUCAGUUUUCCGGGAUGGAUAAUGGUAGAGAGAAGGUAGCAGUUUCGGCUGUGUUAUAGCUCUCUGCUGGAUACAUCUUGGGGGACUGAGGAACGCAGUGUGCCUUUGGCGGGGGUUUCGACCUCUUCACACUUAGGAUGCUGGUGGAAUGGCUUUAAACGACCCGUCU
rnacentral:rRNA from 1 species